rnacentral:rRNA from 1 species
UGUUUCGGCUAGGGGGCCAUCCCGGCUUACCAACCCGAUGCAAACUGCGAAUACCGGAGAAUGUUAUCACGGGAGACACACGGCGGGUGCUAACGUCCGUCGUGAAGAGGGAAACAACCCAGACCGCCAGCUAAGGUCCCAAAGUCAUGGUUAAGUGGGAAACGAUGUGGGAAGGCCCAGACAGCCAGGAUGUUGGCUUAGAAGCAGCCAUCAUUUAAAGAAAGCGUAAUAGCUCACUGGUCGAGUCGGCCUGCGCGGAAGAUGUAACGGGGCUAAACCAUGCACCGAAGCUGCGGCAGCGACACUCAGGUGUUGUUGGGUAGGGGAGCGUUCUGUAAGCCUGUGAAGGUGGCCUGUGAGGGUUGCUGGAGGUAUCAGAAGUGCGAAUGCUGACAUAAGUAACGAUAAAGCGGGUGAAAAGCCCGCUCGCCGGAAGACCAAGGGUUCCUGUCCAACGUUAAUCGGGGCAGGGUGAGUCGACCCCUAAGGCGAGGCCGAAAGGCGUAGUCGAUGGGAAACGGGUUAAUAUUCCCGUACUUGGUGUUACUGCGAAGGGGGGACGGAGAAGGCUAUGUUGGCCGGGCGACGGUUGUCCCGGUUU